rnacentral:lncRNA from 1 species
AAUCCUGAAAAACUACGAGGGGAUAUUUUUAAAAGAACAACCAAAUGUAAUGAGACUUCGUAAAUCAGGCUUUAAAAGUGCUGUGUUCGUUGGAAAGGAGACCCUAAUUUAUUGGAGGAAAAAGUUUCAUUGCGCAGUGAUUAAAGUGGCACCUUCACUACGUGGUCACCAGCCGUAUUAUGAACUCCGUGUUUGGAAUUCCACAGCAUCUGUCGGCCCUCACGAAAAAUGUACCAGACGAUUCCAAAAACUAGGUAAAAAAGGACGCGUCAUUUACCACUCCAAGUGUCAGGACAUUCUGAAGGUGUGAAUACCGGAGCAUGGCGCAAAAGCUAGAGCGACGCAAAUGUUUAUUAACUACACUACGUCCAAGAUUUAUCAAUACCUAAAAAUGAAAUAAAACGUUGGCAACAGUGCGUUAUGU